rnacentral:rRNA from 1 species
GACGAACGCUGGCGGCGUGCUUAACACAUGCAAGUCGAACGCUGAAGCUCAGCUUUUGUUGGGUGGAUGAGUGGCGAACGGGUGAGUAACACGUGAGUAACCUGCCCCCUUCUUUGGGAUAACGCCCGGAAACGGGUGCUAAUACUGGAUAUUCACUGGUCUUCGCAUGGGGGUUGGUGGAAAGGGUUUUUCUGGUGGGGGAUGGGCUCGCGGCCUAUCAGCUUGUUGGUGGGGUGAUGGCCUACCAAGGCUUUGACGGGUAGCCGGCCUGAGAGGGUGACCGGUAACAUUGGGACUGAGAUACGGCCCAGACUACGACGGGAGGCAGCAGUGGGGAAUAUUGCACAAUGGGCGCAAGACUGAUGCAGCGACGCCGCGUGAGGGAUGGAGGCCUUCGGGUUGUGAACCUCUUUCGCUCAUGGUCAAGCCGCAACAAUGGUUGUGGUGAGGGUAGUGGGUAAAGAAGCGCCGGCUAACUACGUG